AAACUUCUGGACUCAACCUGGCCGCUAGACCGGAGCGUCCUCCAGCGCAGGCAAGGAUUCCUCGUUUAGAGUCAUGUUAUCUUCGAGUACCUAGAGAGACAUUUUAACCCACACCCUAGAGAGGCGUUGUAAUCCUUACGUGUCUUUUAACGCUACUUGGCCCUUACCUGCGAGCAACUGACCUUUAAUAAUCCUCAUUUUCUGUGCCCCGGAAGUGCCUUACCCUCUUCGCGUCUGUUUCCCGGAAGUGGUUCUUCUCCCUCUCCACCCUUUCGCCCGCCUGGGCGGUCCAGCUGCCCCUAGGGGCCAACUCCAGCGGCUAUUUUGGGGCUGGACAUCCCGCAGCUUUUCAAGGCGUGCCUUUGGUUUUUUUAAGAAGUGCUAUCUAAAGGAAAAGCUGGACUAUGACUCUGGGGAACUUUCCAAGCCUGGAGGAAUCCCUGACUUCGUGAUUGAAGGCUCUCCAGGUCCCCUAGUUUAAGGGCAGAGAUUUACUUUCUCUGAGGCUACAAAGGAGCGUCUGCGAGAAUGUCUCUACCUUAGACAAAACAGGGAGGAGGGGUGGAGCUCUCCAAAUUGCCUCUGGUUUGGGCUUUUUCUUUCUGUUUUGGUGUAUCGUCUCUGGCCAACAACACCUGUGAGUCCUUGAUGUGACGAUUAGGGAAGAUGUUUUUAAUUCACAUAACUAUUCUUUAGAGAAAAUUGAUCCUGAAACACCUUAUUGCCUUAUCGUAGAAUGACUGCAUUACUCAGAAUUCUUUACCUCUACCGGAAUUUAGUGAAGGGAAGGCACAACGUACAUUAGGAAAAUACAGGACACACUCCAGUCCUUAAACCUUCCACAAUCUUCUAGCUCUUUAAGGUCGAGUGUGAUCCUCCCCAGAACUGCAUCUUCCAGGAAGCUCAUGAGAAAGGAAGGAUCCCAGGUCCCAUCUCUGAUCUGAGUCGGCAUCUGCGUUUUAACAGAAUCCUGAAGCAGUGGUCUAACUCCUUUGGUGGUGUUAUUGUUUGCAUGUAUACCUCCAAAAUUCACAUAUUGAAAUACUAACCCCCAAGGUGAUAGUAUUAGGAGGUGGGGCCUUUGGGAGGUAAUUAAGUCAUGAGGGUGAAGCCCUCAUGAAUGGGAUUAGUACUCUUAGAAAAGGGACCCCAGAGAGGUCUCUUUCCACCAUGUAAGGAUAAAAGUACACGGAGAAGAUGGCAAUCUGCAAACUGGAAAAGGGCCCUCCUCAGAACCUGACCAUCUUGGCACCUUGAUCUCAGACUUCCAUCUUCCAGAACUGUGAGAAAUAAAUUUCUUUUAUAAACACUCAGUCAAUGCUACUUUAUUAUAGCAGCCUGAAUGGAUUAAGACAGGUGGUCUGGUUUAAAGUGAUGUGGUGGCAUCAGAAGUUUAAGGAGAGACUGGAUUUACAGAACCAGAAUCUGGGAUGCUGUUUACAGAGCAAGUUAUUUCCUGCAUUUGGACACUGUCAGCAGGUCGAUUCAGGAGACAGGUGAAAACUUUAUCACCGGGCAGCCUGGAUGAACACCACAACUUUGAUAUCUUUCACUUAAAGGAAAGAUAAGGGCAUCCACUAUUUCUACACCUGGCUGGCAGAGUGAGAGCUCACCAAAGAGACGGGGUUUCGUCAUGUUGGCCAGGCUGGUCUCGAACUCCUGACCUCAAGUGAUCUGCCUGCCUCGGCCUCCCAAAGUGCUGGGAUUACAGGCGUGAGCCACUGUGCCUGGCCAAUUGUAUGUUAAUUUCUUCCAGCUCCUUUAUUGAAUUAUUUUAUUGUUUUAAGUAAUUGUGUUAUUUGCUAAGGAUUAUUGUUUCUCUAAGGUUUUUCAGAUUUCUUCUACAAAAUAAUGGAAAUGUUAUUUCUCUUUUUAAUUUUUAUACCUAUAGUUGGCUUAUUUGUUCUGCUUUCAAUAGCAAACACUUCUAGUUUAAGAUUAAAUAGCAGUGGAGAUAUUUUGCAUCCAUGCUUGCAUUUAUGGAAUGAAUCCUACUUGGCCAUGGCAUAUUAUUUUCUUAAUGUGGCGUUGGAUUACGUUUGAUAGUAUUUUAUUUAGUAUUUAAUCACCAAUAUUUAUAGCUGAUAUUGGUCUGAAAAAUUAUUUUAUUAUUCACUGGCAUACUUUUUAGUUGGCAUCUAAAUUAUUUCAUACGCCUAUAGAUGUAUUCAAUUAUACCUUCAUAUGAUAGUA
rnacentral:lncRNA from 1 species